rnacentral:rRNA from 1 species
CGCGCAGGCGGUCGUACAAGUCGCGUGUGAAAGCCCCCGGCUCAACUGGGGAGGGUCACGCGAUACUGUUCGACUCGAAGGCAGGAGAGGGAAGUGGAAUUCCCGGUGUAGUGGUGAAAUGCGUAGAUAUCGGGGGAACGACCAGUGGCGAAGGCGACUUUCUGGCCUGUUCUUGACGCUGAGGCGCGAAAGCUAGGGUAGGCAAACG